UAAGGGAGGACUGGGCUGGUGACGCUGCCUCCUCCCCUAAACAGCCACCCCCUCCCCCCCAUUCUCAGAUUUAAUUCUUCCCAAAGGAACACACACCUCCCCUUAAGACCUUUCGGUGACCACAGUGGCUGGGACCCUGGACAGCAAAGACCUAAAGGGUCUCUCCUCAACUCUGGCAGAGCCUGCUGAUGAGGUCUGAGCCCCAUCAGUGUCUGUGUCACCCCCGGGAAUGCCCCGGCUUCACCUCAGUACCAGCCUCGGUUCCUUCACCUGGGUUCCAGCAGGGGACCACUCAGGAAGCCUCAGGGCCAAAACCUGUUUUGUUGACCCACCUCUGAGACUCAGAAAAACUGAAUGACUUGCGUACAGUCAGUGAAAGAUCCAGAUCUUUCAGAGGCAGCCAGCUCACAGGACACCUCUGCGACCUAGGCCUGGAUGCACACCAACCUCACAGCCACCAUUUGAACUCUUCUUGUCUAUGUGGUCUCCUCUCUAUACCCCUAGCAUGGCACAUACAUUCUGCCAGUGCUUUUGAUGUUUUUACCACUUGAAAUGUCUCCUCCCCAACUCCUUUGCCCCAAUCAAAUUCCUCUCUUCAUUUAAGACCUAGAAAAUACUCAUUUCCGUUAU